rnacentral:rRNA from 1 species
UACGUAGGGGGCAAGCGUUGUCCGGAAUCAUUGGGCGUAAAGCGCGUGUAGGCGGCUUGGUAAGUCCGCUCUGAAAGCCCGGGGCUCAACCCCGGGAGGCGGGUGGAUACUGUCAAGCUCGAGUCCGGAAGAGGCGAGUGGAAUUCCCGGUGUAGCGGUGAAAUGCGCAGAUAUCGGGAGGAACACCAAUGGCGAAGGCAGCUCGCUGGGACGUGACUGACGCUGAGACGCGAAAGCGUGGGGAGCGAACAGG